UACGUAGGGUGCAAGCGUUGUCCGGAUUUAUUGGGCGUAAAGAGCGUGUAGGCGGCUUGGCAAGUCAGCUGUGAAAACUCGAGGCUCAACCUCGAGCUGUCGGUGGAAACUGCCUGGCUAGAGUCCGGAAGAGGAGUGUGGAAUUCCUGGUGUAGCGGUGGAAUGCGCAGAUAUCAGGAGGAACACCGGUGGCGAAGGCGGGUCUCUGGGCAGUAACUGACGCUGAGGAGCGAAAGCGUGGGGAGCGAACAGG
rnacentral:rRNA from 1 species